UCCACCCUCUCUCUCUGUUGAUCGGGGCUGCUGUGGGGGCAGGAGUGAUGAUGCUCCUAUGUAUCCCACUGCUUCUCAUCUGCAAGCAUAGGAGAGCCAGACAGUCACCAAACAAAACACAGAAGGACACAGCAGAAUUCAUAGUGACUGAUGAGACCCUCUCUCAGGAGGAGGACGAUGUAUAUGCCAAUAAAGCCAUGCUGGAGGAGGCCCUGGGGCCCAACAAGACAGUGGACAGG